AUGCUCCCGACAUGCAACUCUGCUCCGCCUCUCAGAGGCAAUGUUUUCCGAAGCGCAAGCGGAUCUCUGCUGCGCGGUCUUUGCUGGAGGGAUUAGUUCGGGUCUUGGGCGACCCUGUGGCUCACUUGACUUUGGUGUGGCUGAGGGUGAAUUAAGACGUUCUCAAAGAAGACUGAGGAACGCAUUCGGGAGUCCAGAACGGGUGGAGGUGGGAAUGGGGGCGGGGAUGACUAGGGACUUAGGCCUCAGUGAGCGGGGGUAUCCGGGAUAAAAUCCAUGGAAGUGACCCUGAGUGGUGCCACGAGCUUACCUGUGUACAAGAGACUGGAGCAAGGUCUGGCAGUUGAAAAGAUGAAGGUGUCUUGCUUUGGGUGAGCUUGUGGAUCCGAUUCGGGGUCUGGAACCCUGUGUACAGUUGUUUAUAUUCGCAGGACAGUUUUUACAAAUUUGAAUCUUUGUUUUGUUAGAUAUGAGGCAGUUUUUAUUAGAGGUUAUACACCAUUGCUGGAAAGCAACGAAAAGUGGUCGCGAAUGGACAUUGUGAACAGGGGGACCUGUGAGAAGGUCUCUGUAGGACUGAGACUUGAGGAGUGGAUCACCAUCCUCCAGCUUGGAUUGAAAAAGCAAGACACAUUCAUCUUGUGGAGUAUAUCUACAGUGGGAUAAUGCACAGCAGUGAAAAUUACUGAAUUUAACAAAUAUGAUAAGCAAAGAGCCAUAGAAAAUACAUACAUUUUAGAUCCAUUCAUAAAAUUUUAAAAAGAGGCAAAACAUUUUUUGCAUAAGUGGUUCAUAAUAAAAAACAAAGAUAUGAUAAAUAAAAUUCAGGAAUGUGGAAACUACAAGAAACCAGGAAGAUGAAGAGAUAAAUUUGCAAGCUGAUUCAAAGUUAUUCGUGUAUUCUUUCUUAAGCUGGAUUGUAUUUACACAAUUAUAUACUUUUAAAAUAUAUUCUUCAGUAAUUAUAAUUUAUCUUUGAUGAAAUUUAAAAAAUUUAAAUAUAGCAAUUGAAUAACUGUCCUCGUAUGAUUGUAUGAACAUGGAAAAAGUCAUGGGAUAUGCAUAUCAUAUUUUUAAGUGUUCUACACAAGGGUAGUGUAGGAGCUUGUGAAGGUAAAUAUGUACAGAGGAGAAACUGAUAGGUGAUGUAAGAAAAAAAGCCUGUUAAAUGCGUAAAAUACAUAUAUCUGUUAUUUACAUGUAUAUGUGUUAGAAGAUACUAAGAAAUACCGAGAAUCAUUAUCACAAAGCAGUAGGCUUUCAGGUGUUUUCACUUGGUAUUUUUACGCCCCACUUGAAUUUCUGACAAGGUCUAUUUCAUGUAAUAAAAGUAUGGCCACUCCUGCUUUCUUUGGGUUACCAUUUGCAUGGUAUGCUUCUCCCACACUUUCAGCUUCUGCAUGUCCUUAAAGUGAGUCUCUUGUAAAUAAAAUAUAGUUGGAUCUUUUAAA